UUUGAAAAAAAAUAGAGGCAAUGAUUUAAAUUUUAACAACUAAAGUUCCAAGUGACGGGUGUAAAUUGUAGGAUUGAUUGCUUUGAUUAUUGGUUGGUUAACGUCCAGUGGAAAAUAUUUCAUGCAUGCUCAGGACGAGAACAAGUUAACAAUAAAUACAAUAGGUAGGUUUUGCAAUAGAGGCAGGGCAUCCGCGAUGAUGGUCGGGAAAAUUUUAACUGACGCUAUACAUGUAUAUAUAUACUUGUAUACUCGUUCUAAAAACUAAUUUUAAGAAAGAAACUUUUCGGACCUUUUCCGACGCCUAGUAUGCGAGCAAUAUGGCCCCCAGAGCCCUAAAAGGUAACUUUGUUAAUUUUCUUUCAGUCGUUUUGUCUCCCAACUUGUACAUGUACAUUCUUUCCA
rnacentral:lncRNA from 1 species